rnacentral:lncRNA from 1 species
CAUCAUGUUCUAUUUAUCUCCUUAAAUUCUUUGAUAUUUGCUGUGUACUCAAGGUAUAUUCCACUCUAACACCUGUCUUCUCUUGGUCUUUCUAACAAAAUAUUUGUGUUAUGGAUUUUAAAGUUGUCUCUUCUUUACUUUUGAGGUAAUGGCUCAUCUUUCAGCCUUUAUAUGCCACUGUUGGGGCAAGGCUUGCUCAGACCUAACAAUCCAUGCUGCAAGAUUUUUGUUCCUUCUUUUCGUGUUCACCAAAACUUUUGUCCCUACAAGUAAAGGACUUGACUUUUGUUGACACUGUUUGUGUAAUUGCAUGUUCUUAAAUCAGUUGAUCAGCCUUAGUUUCACGUCAGAUUAAACCGGUUGCAUCAAAUAAGAAUCAAAUGUAACUUGCUGGUUGUUGUAUUUUUAUUUUUAUUUUGCAACUGUGCUCACAUAACAUUGUGAUUUUUCCUUUGCUUUCUUUAAUUAUUAUCUCGUCCAGCUCUUGCUGCAAAGAGAAACAGAUAUCACAGGCAGAAAUCCUUGAUGACCCUUGAAAUGGAGAGUCAACACGCCAAAGGAUUUAUGCCAACUUACGGUUCAAAUUAAUUAGCAUUUUCUAGUAAAGGAGAACAAAAAUUUUGUUAGGGAUCAGCUCACCAAGACGUUGUAGAUAAGAACGUUGACUGUAUUGAUACGACGUGCACAGAAUACUGUGUUAAAGAGUAGCACCAUGGCUUGAGAGAAGAUAUGCCCUUCCUGGGAAUUUGGCUCCAAUCAAUUGUACGAGGAUGGUGGGGUCAUGGAAAACCAGUGUAUCUGUAGAGAAAAAUGAAUCUCAGUGUAUACAUGGAUAAAAGAACAUAAGGCAAUUUCCCUUGUAUUACUACCAGUUUUUUUCUUUUUAUACUUCUAGAUAAAUUCGAUUGAUUCUCAUAAUUGUGGUUGAGAUUCUAGACGGACCCAAAUUUGGAAUUGUUCUGGUGUCAAUAGUGUCACCAGGUACUCUUAUUCGGAUUUUAUAUCUAAACAGUUUUACAAUUGCAGCCAUUGUCUCCAUACUUUGAUUAUUUGGGCAGUUUUUUUUGUUUUAAGUUCUACUAAAUCUGAAUUUCAAUUCAAGCCAAAAAGCUACAUAUGAAUGGAUGUAACUUCUAGAUGAAAAAUCUAUAAGGUUUCACCAUUUCCAUUUGAUGAUACAAGAAUUUUGAAGUUCUUACUUUGCCUCUAUUUUGCAUCUCAAAUUCGAAUUGUGUGCAUUCUUCUCCUCCAAUCUUGUUUAUACUUUUUCUUUGGCGUUCGGCUUCUCUUCGUGUUUGCACAACGCAAAUAACACUGAGACUCAUCAUAUCUUUGAGGCAUAUUUGUAUUCGUGAGCAUCGUGAAAAUUGGUGGUGACAAAUACACGUACGAGUAUGCGACAUUUUAGCAUGUUUUAAAGUUGGUAUUGUCAAGUUCAAGUUUCUGCAAUAUUCCAACUUCUCUCUCUACUCAUCUUCUCACGUUCUAUAAGAAAAAACCUUCCAACAUUUUCUAAUAUAUAAUUCCAUUCCAUCUUCGAACUGGAUUUGGGCCUUUUGUUAUCGAUUUACUUGAAACGAUUGUUUUUAGUUGAGAUUGGGUACUUCUUGAAUCUUAUUGUUUAGUGUAUGUUUAGUACGUAAUAUUAGACACAGCAAGAAACAAAAAUAGUAUAUGUAUCUUAUACGAGAAAAGAACAUAAAUUCUGAUAGGACAGCUAGCUAAGAGGAUGUAGAUAAGGACUUCGAAUGUGUUGAUAUACAAAGAGACAUGGAACAAUGGGAGAAAUGGCACCACUGCUUCAAUAAGAUGUGACUAGAGAAGGGUUUUGGCUUUUUCCCAUAAACUUGUAUUAAAAUGGGUCUUGGAGAAGGGGGGAAAAAGAAGAAAGAAAGCACUUUUCUGUGGAAUUCAAUGUAUCUAGGUCUUAUUCAUGAAUCAAGAAAACAAAAGCCAAAUGCCCCCAUUGUAUCAUAUACCCAAUUCUUUGGGUGAAAACCUCAAAUCCCAUGAUAUUCCAUCCUCUUUAAGAAUCUGUGGUCCCUUGAGCUUGUACUCGUGUUAGCUGUAGUCUAGUUUGAUCCUUAUCUCAUAUUUAUCUUCAAAAAAUUGUCUGGGGAGGGAGAAUGAAUUUGGUAUGAAGUGACAUAACAAACGAUGACUAGAACUUUUGUAGUUAUUUUUUACGAACUUUAAAAGCAAAAUGGCAAUAAGUGGAGUUGACGGGAAUAAAGAUUAAAUUAAGGAAAUGACGGUUUACGUAGCUGGAUUUGUCUACUCUCAAAUUCAUAAGAGUGACGUGAUUUUGUAAAUCAAGUUAGAAAAAGGAGAGACGGAGUAAAAUUAAGUUCGUUUCUGGUGGUUAUUUGCGAUCUAACUAAUCUAUUUUAUAAUUAAUAACAAACAAAGGGUUCAUUAAACCAAACACCAAAAUUCAUUGUAAGACUUUCAGAAUCACUGCUUAUUCCAGGGGAUGGAGUAAAUGAGCUGAAAUAUCUAUAAAUUAAUCUAUAAAACUUUGACAAACAGGACAUGAACAGAAAGAUGAUGUAAGGAUUAAGAAUUUAAGACAGAGACAAGGGACGAAUUGUCAUGCCAUAAUGCAAAUGGUACAACAAGUCUGCUGAUAGUGAAGCAGGAAUCUAAUGGUUUUCCAUUGAAAUGUCAAGAUUUUAUACAUGGAAAAAUAAAAAGUGACAUUGAUUUCUGUAUCAAACUUUGAAUUAGAAAAUUAUGCAGGUAACAUGCAUGGCCCUCAACUUAAUGUUUUCCUUUGUCUCCUGCCCGAAUGUCAAAUAAUUUUGACCAGUUCAAGGUAUUGAAAACGUGGGAUGUAUAGAUCCAAAUGCCAUCAUUACCAGUUACUUCUAGGAGGGUCUCUAAACGCAACGGCCAAUAUAUGAAUCUUCAAACAUACACGUUAUCGGUACUUAACAUAAAUUGAAAAUUAGCGUUCAUUAGAUCAUUCCUCUCUCUGAUAUGCACCAUGUAAAAUGAUAUGUUGAAGACAAAAGCCAAAUUUAAGGAGCCAAAAAAAAAAACACUCAUGCCAAUAAUUUAAGCUUUUUUCCCCCUAAAUCUUGAUUUUAACUUGAUUUAUUCGUGAACAAUAAAUUGUAAAGCUCUGAGAGGGUACAAAAUAGCUUAAAAGUUAAAACACAACUAGUUAAUUAUACUCGAAUGUCAUUUUAGCUUUAUUUAGUAAAAACAAAUCAAGGUUUAUUGAUUUAAACUCAAAUUAAUCAUUAAGCUCCUAGUUAGUAAAUUUAAUUUUUGACACACACACACACACACACACACAAAAUAAAUACGUAAAACACAUACAAAAAGGGAAAAAAAAAAAAAAUCGUCAAAAAACUGCGUCCUACAACCAUCAAACCUACUCAUUCUUUUGUCUCCUUUCUAAAGCAACCAUGCAACUAUGUCAAUUUGCAGAGAGCGAUAGAGAGACUUUCACUUUCAAUACACACACAUGUAAUUGUUGAAGAUAAGAUUUAAGAUUUAAAAUGAAUACAUAUGGUUAUUUUUUACCAGCUUAAGUAAUUUGAUUAGAUGAUUGUUAUGUAUCGGAGCUCACUGAAAGAUCUAGAUUGAACUCUCGCUAUAUUUAUUUAUAAAAAUUGUCUACAUAUUCAACAUUUAAUCGAAAAAUGAAAUUUAGCCUUUGUUUGAUUUAGAUAAAAAUGAGAUUUUUAGUAGAUUAUUAGACGAAAUGUGUAGUUAAAAAGCUGAAAAAUUGUGAAACUUAUAAAAUGUGUGAUUGAAAAUAAAAUUUGAAAAAAAGACCAAAUUCGACCGUAGCGUGCAAGUAAAUGGAUGAAAAACGAGAUUUGUAUUUGAUGGAUGUGAAUUUUCUUAACGUUUAAACUUUUAAACGAGAAAAUUAACGUGUGGGAGAGUGGGAGGACUUGGCAAUAGGUAAACUUAAGAUGAUGACAUUGUGCACCAAAAGAGACGCAACAUAACAAAUCUCAUAGGUCUUAUUGUGAUAUUUUUAAUCACAUUUAUCACUUGCAUUUGAUUUUGACUAUAGAAAUUAGGCAACAAAAAACCAAGUUGACAAAUCUCCUAUGCAAAUCUUAAGACGACUUUCAGAUGUUUAAAAUAAGGAUUAAACUAAGUGUACAGUUCACAGAACCCCUAUAGGUACUCACAGUAGAUGGAUCCCAUGUAGGACCCACUUGUAUAAAAUAAUGUCCAAAUCCCACGCACCCCGUCCAUGUUGUGAGUAUCUAAAGGGGUAAACAACCCCGUAGCUCCAGCAUCUUCCUUAAAACAAAACUAAUGACUUCACAAACUAUUAUUAAUGUAACAUACUGUCCCUAUUGAGUCAAUAUUUUCGACUGCCAGCCUGCAACUCCGCAGAAUCAAUAAUAUGCUUUUUGACUCAAAAAUAAGAAUAAUCAAAUUUCAGUAGGAAAGUUGUCGCAAUGUAAAAUAAAUGUAAAUUAUGAUUUAGAUAUUCAAAGUUAUCGAAAAACUCUUCAAUGAAGAGAUGUAUAUAAAAUGUAAAUUAUGUCGUUUGACUGAAAAUGUAAAACAUCGAAGAAGUAGAAAACGGAUUUAGAUCUUUCCAUUGAAGUAAAAGUUGAAUUUAGAUCUAUCAAAAUAUAUAUAUGAGGAUAUAAUGAUAGUAUUAGAUAAACCAAUUUACACUCAAUUUUAUACCACGAUUGGAGAUGCUUUUAUAGGUUAAAGACCAUAAGAUUAUUAUAAUCUACACAAUAUUUUCUUGAUUCCCUUUGAUUAUUUUAUGGAAGCUGGAUUGCAUAAUUAUUUCAUAUUAAUUUCUUUUAUAGUCAUUUGUAAUGUACUAAGGUUAUUUCUUAAUUUGUUUUUGAUAGAUAAAAAUGUAUAUUUUCUUAUUAUUUAAAAACAGGAUGACAUAAUUGGACAAUAUUAAUAUACAUGUCUGUGUUGGUUUAUGCAUGCAAAUAAUAGUAUAUUACUAGGUUAAAGACACGUUGAAUGAGACCAACAGAGCCACGUACACGUUCAUAUUGCCAAAGUAAAGGGAUUAAUUAUAUAAUUUAACAUUCUAUUUCUAUGGUUAGUGAAAAGUCGACAUCAAGUUGCAGCUGGGCCAUGUGAAAUUAAAUUAAAUUAAAAGUAGAUAAUCUUGGAUUUGUGCUAAUUAAGCAAUAGAGCAUCAUAUAUUCAUAAUAUUUAUAGAUAUUCUGAAUAUAUAAAAUAGCACAACAUGCAGAGUUUUAAACAAUUACAAAUUGAAUUUGUUUACCCUAAACGUUUAAAAUAAUUGCAAAUUAAUUCUUAAAGUGAGCUCAAGCAGAUUGUUACUCCCUGUAUUAAGUUAAUCAUAAGAUAGCGCCACGUGGAAAAUUCACUAGCGUCAUCAGAAGAGUCGGCUCAAAACAUAUGAAGAGACGAAGCAAUAAGGUUACAGAUUGGCUCCAGAAGCCGAAAUCCUUGUUCUGGCCAAGUUGCCAUUUAACUAGAUGGAUCAUGAAGUCCUAAUAAAGGGUCUAUGUCGAAAUCCUCAUGUUCACAACCAGUCAAGGUUCUAAAAGAUGAGGCUGAAGUCCUAAGAGGCGAAGAGGCUGCCACAUUUGCUAACUUGACGAAUAUCUUUGUGAAAAACUGAUUAGAUGUUUACUUUAUCUUAUGUCAAGAAUAUAAAUCUAGAAGUAUUGGACAGUUGGCUUUUUGUCAAUGAAAUAAAUGCAUAUGUAAAAAUGAUGUGAUAUAUAAAAGAAGGGGGGAGGGCACGUGGUUUGGAUCCAACGAUCCUCACCCUCUUCCCCAAACUCUAUAUAUAACCUCCCCUUAGGAAAAGAGGAAGGAGGGAGAGGAACAACACAGAUAGAGAAAAAAGAGAGAAAACUUGGGAAGAUGAAUAAAGAACAUGUACAUAAAUUUUUGGCACAUUUUGGAGAGGAAAAUAAAUACAACUCCAUACGUCUCUUGCCAUUUGAUUGUGUUCCUAUUUUGCUCUCUUUUAUCAUUUACUUGCAAAAGUUGUAAUUAUGUUUGGGUAAGAUUAUCACUGUCCAUGUGAGAGUUUUUCGGUCACUUUGUCGGCUUCUAAACUGCUUAGUCUCGCGUCGGAUGAGAAUACGUCCAUUUUACCAUCUGAUCAAAUCAACAAUCCAAACACCCCAAAAUUUGUCCACAUGGACACGAGUGGGCCUGACAUCAGUUGGCAUCUUUUUUGGAGGUUAACAGAUUGGCACCGUCUGUGGGAAGCUUGGAAUAGCAAAACCACGAGCACCUGUGGGAUAAGGCCUUUGAACAAAAGGUGACGUUCUUGAAAAAGAUCAAUACGGGACAUGAUCGAGGUAUUGAAAGAUGCAACUCAAAAGGAACUAUGCUAAAUCCUUGAAUAAAGGAAAACAACCCCAGAAACAGAGCCAAAGAGAGGUUAUCUAUCGAGAAGGGGUAGUCAUGAGUUCAACAAAAGAAAAAACCUUACCUAGACAGAAUAAAGAACGUUUUGGUGAGAAAGCAUCCUCGCAAAUUGCCCCAAUAAUCUAGGAGCCGCUGCCAGCCACCCCCGCAGUUCGCCAUCGAAGAAGUGGAAUCAAGACUGAAAGCCAUCCAAUAGGUAUAUAUAUAUAAGAUUAAUUUUUUAAGCUACUUCCAACUGUCCACGUUGCUUUUGGGUCAAGCCUUUGAACAUUGUUGUUGGUAAUCAAUUCAGCAUUUGACCGAGGCCUGUGAAAUUAUAUUCAAUGUUUAUAUCAAAACUCGGGAUUUAUUGGGUAUCAAAACGCAACACAAAUGUUGGUAUAUCAACUCUAACAUAAAUACGUACGUGUGCGAACUUUAUCAAGUUUGUCAAAGCUUGCCUAGCAAUCAUUGUUCACUCUUAGCACAAUGAACUGUCACCCUAUAAUUUUUCUAGGGUAGGGGAUAAAGGGUAUAUCUGCCAGACCAUCAAGAUCUAAUCACCAUAUAUGUUCAUAAAAUAAACAUGAGUUCUUUUUUCUAAUUUCAGCUUCAAUUCUUGCUUCCUCGAAACUUAUAGCGGUCUCUUUUACUUCUCUAAGAUACUUUUGUUUCUUUCACAGUCUUUCUGGCAACAAAGGCUUGUGUGGUGUACCAUCUUUGCCUGAUUGUCCACUAUUUUGGGGGAAAAAUGGCUUAUCUACUGGUGGCAAAGUUGCUAUCGGUCUUGCCUGUCUAUUUUUAUUAUCGGUGCUGCUGCUUGGGAUGUACUAUUGUUGUGUGUGGAGGAGGCGCAAUGACUAUGACUUUGGUCUACCUCAUGAACUAAUGUGUAAGUUCUUCUUUAACUAGUAUCAUCAUGUUCUAUUUAUCUCCUUAAAUUCUUUGAUAUUUGCUGUGUACUCAAGGUAUAUUCCACUCUAACACCUGUCUUCUCUUGGUCUUUCUAACAAAAUAUUUGUGUUAUGGAUUUUAAAGUUGUCUCUUCUUUACUUUUGAGGUAAUGGCUCAUCUUUCAGCCUUUAUAUGCCACUGUUGGGGCAAGGCUUGCUCAGACCUAACAAUCCAUGCUGCAAGAUUUUUGUUCCUUCUUUUCGUGUUCACCAAAACUUUUGUCCCUACAAGUAAAGGACUUGACUUUUGUUGACACUGUUUGUGUAAUUGCAUGUUCUUAAAUCAGUUGAUCAGCCUUAGUUUCACGUCAGAUUAAACCGGUUGCAUCAAAUAAGAAUCAAAUGUAACUUGCUGGUUGUUGUAUUUUUAUUUUUAUUUUGCAAAUGUGCUCACAUAACAUUGUGAUUUUUCCUUUGCUUUCUUUAAUUAUUAUCUCGUCCAG